UGAUCACAUCACAUUGAAACAUUGGUUCCGAUACAAUCACCAAAGUUAAGCAAUGUUGAGCCUGGUCAGUACCUAGAUGAGUGACCACUUGGGAAUACUAGGUGCUGUAAG
rnacentral:rRNA from 1 species